rnacentral:lncRNA from 1 species
UCUGAUCUUGUGGCCCCCAUCCAGGAACUGACUCAGUGCAAGACAACAGCUUGCACUCCCUAUGACUUAAUCUCCCACCGGACCAGUCAGCACUCCUGAGUCACCUGGCUGCCCCUGGCACACCAAGUAACCCUUAAACACUUCAAUCCUUGAAUGCUCUGGGAGACUGAUUUGAGUACCAAUAAAACUCCAGUCUCCUGCACAGCUGGCUCUGCGUGUGC